rnacentral:lncRNA from 10 species
GGGGGUUUCUGGUUUGACUUUACAAGAAAACACUGAACAAAAUCCUCAAAGACUCACAACAGGUGUUCUAUUUUCACCUCAUGGUGAAAUAGUACAUUGUGUAGUAAUGAAAAGAGAGUGAGAAAGGUAUGGACUAACAACACUCUAUGUGGCCUAAAAACCAACCAAAUCAAGUUUCUAUCAAGGCAGAAGAGGCAGGACAGCCAAGGAAUUGAGCAUAAAGGACACUCUACUGUGAGAGCUAGCCUUGAUUUGACAUCUGACAUGGACAGAACUUCCAGCAGGACCUUGAAUGUUAACGCAUUACAGAUGCCAGAACCUCUGUCUACCUAAGGCCCUCAGUGACUUUGUGAAGCAGAGUCUCACCUCCAGGCUGGAAACAUCCUGGACUAUUACAUGAACAAGAAAUAAACUUCACUGUGCUGCUACUUUUAGUAGGUCUUUUUGUUACUGCGAUGUAAAAUAACAAUUCUAGCUGAUGGAGCUAGGGAUCUGCAUGACGGAAACAGUGCUUUAACAAAAUGGCAUACCUGGGAUUAAAGAAGGAAUAAUAAAAUCACUAGCAUUUAUUGAGUGCCUAUUGAAUGCUUUAAAUAAUAACUUACAUAAUUCUUACUAGAUGCCAGGAACUGUUGCAUGCACUUUAUGAAUAUUAACUAAUGUUAGUUCUCUGAACUCUAUUAGGUGGGUACUACCAUUGUUCGCAUUUCACAGAUGGAUAAACAGAGGUAUAAAGUGUUGAAAUAACUUGCCCAAGAUCAC